GACACGGAUGUCUACACAAGCCUAAGAAGGGAUCUAAGAAGAGAUCUAUUGAGCCUGUGCCAUACCAGAAAGGCUUCCCGCCCAAAAGACGCAACCAUUCCUUUGUUCCGGUCUCAUCUUACCCGGCCACUGUAUCUUAUGAUCCUAACACAGUUGCAGAGCAAGUAACGACGACCGAAGACUUAGAGUCGUUGCAUUUGUUGGCGUCUAAGUGUGAUUUCACACAUAGUACAC